UCUUGUGACGUGUGACCGUUCGGUCUCCCCUAAACGGUAGAAUCCACGCGUACCGCCUUGGGACUCACCAACAUCUUAAUGUCCACUAAUGACUAGCUGCUCACAUUAAUUAUUAAUAGAAACGAAUAACUCCACAGAUAAAUCAAAAUAAAACGCACAAACCAAAGGAAAGCAAUCAUCACGCUUCGUCCUCUCCAUUCGGUCUCUCAUGAACAUUAAACAAAGAAAUCUAUUCUUCUUAACCUUCAAUGAAAACCCCCAAAACCAAAAUCUAUUCUAAGCCUAAACCUAGAUCUAAACGAGCAGUAUACCAUUCUUUUGCUACGGAUCCAAGCACAAGCAAGCAAACUCUAAUGAUUCAUGAUUUAAUCAAAGCAAGUAAACGGUUCACAAUGGUAAUAUAGACAGAAAAAUAUACGCGUCAUUUGUACAAAGCAAAGUAUGCAGAUCAACGAAGAGGGAAGUAAUAUGAAGCUUACCGGAAAAUAUAUUUUCCGACGAGCGUACCGGCGAUGUGACCCAACCUCAAGGAAUGAAGGUGGUGAAAUUUGUUUCUGUUUUGUCCGUAGUGAGUGAGAACUCCUCUUCUGCUAUUACGUGGCAUUUGCAAGAAUUCCUUGAUGACGCUCUGUGUUUUGCUCUUCUUGGUCUUCCACCAAUGGUUCAUUAUGACUUGUGCAUCACGCUUUUGGAAUGGCUAGCAAGGUCGUUCCUAUUAUGGUAAUGGAAUUCGGUCAGGUUGGAACAUUGUGUCGGUUUUGUUCCUAAUGCGCAUUGCCAUAAGUGCUUUUCAUGACAGAGGUGCUGCCACACUAUAGGGUUGUGUACACUCUGUUGGAAUUAUUUCUACAGGUUGUGAAUUGGUUGUACCUCCCAUAGAAGAUGAUCCCAAAACCCUGUCUACUCGUGGUUGAACGCUUUGGCUUGCCGAUACCUGCUGUAGUGGUGAUGCUUGGUAUAGCACACUGCCUUGGGAUUGGUUGCGGACUUUAGAUAGCGGACUUGACAACUCACGCAGGGUUCUGAUGGUAGUACCAUGCUUGGUUCAUCCAUCUUCAUGCAUUGGAGUCUUCUUGGCGAGUCUGCAGGAAUCACGGUGACGGGAUUAACUCAUAUGGUUGUUACACUAGUACAUACGCAUGUAUUGGUUCUGCAGCAGGUCAUGUGUUGGAUUAUGCAAUCAUGUGUUUGUACCGUAAUACAUUAUGGUUUAGGUUUGUUUGAUAAUACAGGACAUUGGCCACAAGGUCUCAUGGUUUCCAAUUGGUAUACCACAGUCACCUAUUGUCCAUAACCUUGGCUUGCAGCAUUAGCUACCAGUGUCGUUGAUACUCAUUCUGGUGCGGUUUCUUGAAGGAAUGUUGAUACGGCAUGAGUGAUGCACACUUUAUCAUGUUGGUUUACAAGGUAAGCGUAGCAAUUUGCAUUUUGUAAUGACCUUGGACCUUGGCUUGUCUUGUAUGUAGAAUCUAAGACUCCACAUCACGGUCGCAACCGGGUAUGCUUUCUGCAGUAGCUAACCUCUAGGCAAUUUGCAUCUUUGUUUCGUAUUUAUGUGUUGCUUUCAAUUUCAUGACAGUGUGUAUUUUGUAUCAAGUAUUUCUGAUUUUACCGACGUAGCCUAUGUCAUGACAGUUUUGGUAUGGAUGUGACAACUUUGCAGCCUUUCAAUGCAUUGGUUUGCUUUUGAAACGUAGUGAUCAUCACAGUUGUCUAGCCCACUCUCAUGAUUAAUCAUUGCUUGCCCCUUUGAAGUCGACUAAUCUGGAAGUUCGUUCGUAGAAUCCAGGUGUAUCUUGUCUUCUGAAGCAUCACUUGCAAUUUUCUUUUUCUGGUGAUCGUCUUCUAAAUCUUUAUCAUCUAACAUUGUUGUAUCCUGUUGUGUACUUUUAUCAGACUGAUCUUCCUCACUUUUAAAAUCUCCCUCAGAGGUGAUUAUUUCUUCUUAGCAUCUGGUAGAUCUUCUAGAAGAAAGCAACACCUUGAAGCAAUCUUAGUUCCAAGAGCAUUUUCAGACAAGGAUUUUAUAUAGUCAUGAGCUGAAGCAAAAGCCACAUCAGAACAUACCAAUUGCGCAAGGAAAGUUGCCAAUGCCAUGACAGGAAUUGCCACUUCGGCAAGUGAUGACGGACCUUCAGUUUCAAGAGAAUAACCAACAACUGUAAAUGCUUCCUUAAGAGUGUUUAAAACGACAGUCGACAAUUUGUUAUUUGUUGCAACUGGAUCUACCGUUUCUUUGCAACCGGCAUCAACAUCUUCAUCGUAGUCAGUAAGGCUAUCUUCUAUUGGUUUUUUAACAAAAUACAAUAUGCACUGAGCUUUUGAUUUUGUUCCAACAUGUUCUGCAAUCUUAUUCCAAUUUUCUUUAUAAAGUUCCAAUGUUUCAAGGAGCAGAAGUGUCUCCUGAUCAGUCCACUUUAUCGUUAUAAAUCUGUUCUUUGAAAUACAUCAACACAGCCAGCCACUGCCUCCAUUUCGACAUUUAUGAUUCUCUUCCUAUGUAGGCGCUUCAUUAUCUUCCAACUGCUACUUCGAUAAGGCGUUAAGUUGUCAUCAAUGUCGUUAUUGCGUAUGUCCUUAUGGCUUGUGGCUUCGUUCUCAAAACAUGCUUCUGUCACAUUACACGACUUCCAUAGGAUGCAGAAUGUUUGUAUUGAUCUUCUACUGUUGCUCACAUAUUAUUCAUAUUGUUGCCCACAUGUUAUUCAUAUUGUUUCUCACAUGUUGUUCAUAUUAUGUUUAGUAUGAGUGUAGGCAAAUUGUUAUUGCGCAUGUCUGUAAGGUUUUGAAUUGGUUUUGGACAGGUUAGGACAUCUUAUACAGGUGGAUCCACAACUUAACGGGAAUGGACCGGACACGGAAGAUCAACAAUUAGAUGCCUCUUACUCAGAACUUAAUCUUUCUUGACUCAAGUGAUGUAACAUGGUGUUUAAAAUGGUGUAGCACACUUAGAAUAUGGGUUAACUCAUGAAAAAGUAUUACAUGCUUGUAAUUUUAAUUGAUGUCCCUUGGUUUUGAUGCCUACAUGUGUCCCCUUGGGCACUUUUGCUUCACCAUUUGUGAGUAUUGUUUUGGACUUUGUAAUGUAACCCCGGGCUU